GAUGAACGCUGGCGGCGUGCCUAAUACAUGCAAGUCGAGCGAACAGACGAGGAUCUUGCUCCUCUGACGUUAGCGGCGGACGGGUGAGUAACACGUGGAUAACCUACCUAUAAGACUGGGAUAACUUCGGGAAACCGGAGCUAAUACCGUAUAAUAUAUUGAACCGCAUGGUUCAAUAGUGAAAGACGGUUUUGCUGUCACUUAUAGAUGGAUCCACGCCGCAUUAGCUAGUUGGUAAGGUAACGGCUUACCAAGGCGACGAUGCGUAGCCGACCUGAGAGGGUGAUAGGCCACAUGGGAGCUGAGACACGGUCAAGACUCCUACGGGAGGCAGCAGAAGGGAAUCUGACGCAAUGGGCGAAAGCCUGACGGAGCAACGCCGCGUGAGUGACGAAGGUCUUCGGAGCGUAAAACUCUGUUAUUAGGGAAGAACAAAUGUGUAAGUAACUAUGCACGUCUUGACGGUACCUAAUCAGAAAGCCACGGCUAACUACGUG
rnacentral:rRNA from 1 species